CCUGCUGUUUCGUCAGCAGUAACCUACUGGCACAUGCAUUACUGGUAACGGUUUUGUAUGAAGUUGCCGGGAUAAAGUGCCCUUUCGCGAUGAAGGAGCAAAAGCCGUGA
rnacentral:autocatalytically_spliced_intron from 1 species